CUUCAUGGAUUGGUGAUGAUGCUUGGGUUGAACUUCAAACUUAUUGGAAAAAGACCGAGUUUUUGGCUGUGUCUUCUCAAAACAAGACCAAUCGAGCUUCCGCAAGAGGCGGAGCAGUCCACACCACAGGCCGUAAGGCUCAUAUUGAUGUUGCACUUCAACUUUCACGUGAACUUCAAAGGGAUCUGCGUCCCGAUGAGUUAUUUUUAAAAACACACAAGAGGAAAAAUGGUGAAUGGGUUGACAGUCGUGCUGCAUCUACUUAUAAGACUUUUAAAGAGAAGUUUGAUGCAGAACUUCAGCCAACUGAAGAAGGGAAUGGAGAGGUUGUUCAAGUGUUAGAUGGAGAGCGUGUAAAUCAGCUAUGGACAGAGGCUGCUGGGGGCCGUAACCGUGGUCGGGUUUAUGGCGCUGCAGAUUUAGCUAUUAAUCUAAAACGUGGAUCAAAAAGUUUUACCCAACAAUCUCAAACUC